UGACAGUUAACCAAAAACACCUUUAUUUUAGUCUUCAAAGAACGAACUGUUCUUCUUUCUCCAAGACAAUCAUGAUUAACUUAAAAAAUGGGCAUUUACAAUGCAUCUUCAAAGCAUUUCCCUUUAACGGGAAACUUAGCUUCAUAGAAUCCAAACAUUAAAAGGUUAAAAAAAAAUUUUCUAUUUUGUUGUCCUUAUAAGACAAAACAGAAUCCAGCAUAAGUCAAGGAAAUCCAUUCAUACUUCAGGGCCUUCUCCUCCAGGAACCAGCUGCAAAGGAGGAAAAAGUUUAAUAACACCACCACUACAUCCUCUAAAAACCCUUACUGAGAGCUCCUCAUUGACCAAAGCCACUUCUGCCCCUCAGCCCCUCCUCCACAUCCCCAUUUUCUCCAUGUCACUGCUGUUUAUAAUUCCAACACGAUCAAUUAACAUUUAGUGUCUCAACAAUAAAAAAAAUAAAAUGAAAUACUAAAAAGCACAAACUAAUCUUUAGGCCCAAUGUCACCUUCAACAGCUCAGCUUUAGAGCCUGACCACCAGAGCACCACUUCCCCAUCUCAGGCACCACUGGGCCGUGAACAUUUCAUCCAGCAAGUUAGUUCUGAAUCACAAGUCCCUGGCUCAAGGAAUCCUACCACGCCGAGGAGACACGGGCAGCCUGCGGCCGCAGACACUUGGAACCCAAAGACGAGCCGCGGAGGUGGAAAGCAGCGGGUCCGACACAUCUUCCUAAUACUCUGCCAGGGGCAGCCUCCCUGCAGCCCCUCGGCCCCCAACCCCAAGCUUCGGAUCCGCGUCCCCGCUCCCCACAGGACUACCAUUACCUAGAGGCAGCAGCUGCGACGGGUUAGUGGUCGCGUUAGCCGCCAUGGCUACGCCGGAAGUGGCCUGCGUCCAUCGACGUUACGACGGCGAGUUUCAAAGAGCGCGCUUCCGCUUUUUUCUGCAGUCCGGACAGGCUCGACCAAUCUGAGGCCGAGCGUGCGAUCGGGCCAGGCCACGUGGAUCGCGCCCAGUCGCUUCUUUCCCUGGCAGUGAGAGCCCGGGGAAUCUUUCUGUCCGCUGAACGUUGUACUGUCUCGACAGUUGCUCACUCUCCCCUCGCAAUUUUCGAGAGACGUUAAAGAUAUUCUGCCUUGUGAAUAAAUUCUUCCUCUAACCCGGAAGAUUUUGCAAAAUAGGAAAACUUUGAGUCUGUCUUAUUUUCCCAUUUGAGGAACUUAAAGCUAAAGAGUCUAAACAGCAGAGGCCGGAAAGAACAUCAUUCAUCCACACAACAAACGGUUGUAAAGAACCCAUCAUUCACUCACUGAACAAGAUGCUCUGCCCCCAAGUUCUUAUAAAUCGUGCUCAUCUUUCAAGACCUUGCUCAAAUGUGACCAUCUUUGUGAAGCUUCUCCGACUUGCAGACUUGGUGAGCUUUCUCAUUAUCCUGCAAGAAUGUUAAUAGCUCUCAGAAUGCUCUCAAGGUAUUCUCUUAUAAUUAUCUAUCCAGGGGAUUACCUCUCCCUGAAAAAGACUGUGAGUUGCUGAAAGUCAAGAAUUUGGGGAAGCAAUAUAGUGAUUAAAUCCAUUGGUUCUGAAGUUAAUUUACUUUGGUCCAAAUCUCAUCUCCACC
rnacentral:lncRNA from 1 species